rnacentral:lncRNA from 1 species
CACUAAAAAAUACCACAUCAUAAUAUUUAAAACGUUUAACAAGUGGGAAAUGCUUACAAAUAUUAAGUGGGAAAUGCUUACAAAUAUAUUCCAAGUGCUACAAAGGGAACUUGAGACUUCAUUUUGGGAAACGGGAAGGGGAAUAGAGCAUGCAUUCAGCAUUCUGGCUUUUUUGGAAAGCUUACGAAGGGACUAGUAUCUGUCUUACCCGUUUUGGGAGUUCUGAUGAGAGGCUGGCAUAUUUUGGAUGCCUGGUGGUCACGAAGAAAAAGAGAGAAGAAGGCAGCUUGCUACUGUUGAGUAAGACAACUUUCAGUGCCACAGUCAAACAUCAAGGGGAACAAGAAAUCACAAUUCUCCCAAGAAGAAACAUCCAUCAAGCUUUUCUACUAGAGAAAUUACAUGUACAGGUCACAAAAGUUGCAUCUUACCUCCAAACAUUUCAGAGGCUCCCAGACUGUCUGGUGGAGCUGACUGUUAACUGUCUUUUCCUGUACGAAGGCAGUACAUAAAGACCAGGAGAGGUGGCUGGUUUUUUUCAAAUAUGCAGAUACCAAUACAAAGUUAGAUACAUGCAAAUAAAUAGGGAAACGUAAAUAAGAGAAAGGAAGACAAUAAAUCAGAAACCAGCCUUAAAGACUUUGAGGUAUAUGAAUUACUUGACAAAGAAUUCAAAGUGAUUGUUAUAAAUAUGCUCUACAAGUUCAAUAAAACAAUACAUAAACAAAAUGCAAAUAUCAUCAAAGAGGUCAGGGCGUGGUGGCUCAUUCAUGUGACCCCAGCACUUCGGGAGGCUGAGACAGGCGGAUCACUUGAGGUCAGGAAUUCGAGACCAGUCUGGCCAACAUGGUGAAACCCUGUCUCUACUAAAAAUACAAAAAUUAGCCGGGCACGAUGGCGCAUGCCUGUAAUGCCAGCUACUCAGGA